AGCUUUGCAGAGUGGCAGUAUCGUAGCCAAUGAGGUUCAUCCAAGGCGUGAUUAUUGCUAACUGAAACUGAAUUUGUUGCAAUCAUUUCACCAUAUAUGUAAGUCAAACCAUUAUGCCGUCUGUAUGCAGUGAUGUAUGUCAGUUAUAUAUCCCAGUACAACUGG
rnacentral:snRNA from 1 species